UCCAGACUCCUACGGGAGGCAGCAGUGGGGAAUCUUCCGCAAUGGGCGCAAGCCUGACGGAGCAAUGCCGCGUGAACGAAGAAGGUCUUCGGAUUGUAAAGUUCUGUCCUUAUCGAAGAGAGGGUAUAGAGUGAAAAAUGAUAUACUAGGACGGUAGAUGAGGAGGAAGCCCCGGCUAACUACGUGCCAGCAGCCGCGGUAAUACGUAGGGGGCAAGCGUUAUCCGGAUUUACUGGGUGUAAAGGGAGCGUAGACGGCUGCGCAAGUCAGAAGUGAAAGCCCGGGGCUCAACCGCGGGACUGCUUUUGAAACUGUGUAGCUAGAGUGCAGGAGAGGUAAGUGGAAUUCCUAGUGUAGCGGUGAAAUGCGUAGAUAUUAGGAGGAACACCGGUGGCGAAGGCGGCUUACUGGACUGUAACUGACGUUGAGGCUCGAAAGCGUGGGGAGCAAACAGGAUUAGAUACCCGGGUA
rnacentral:rRNA from 1 species